UGUGAGACUGGCUGCUAUGACCGGCGGCUGCACGGCGCCCGGGACCUCUCGGGAGUGUCUUGUCCUAACGUUGGGCAUACCGGGGCUCGGAACCGCUUGAUGGUGGGACCCCAGCAAGUUGCUUGGCUUUUCUGAGCCUCGUCUUUCGCUUCUGUAGAAUGGAAUAUGACUCAUCGCACCCUCACGGGACUACCCAGACGCCGAACCAUCCAUUGGUCCCGUGAGGUAAAAUCACUGUCGACCUCGCUUUCCACGCGGGAAAACGUGACCCAGCCGAGCGAGAGACACCCCCAUUCCCUGGUGGCGCUUUUGCUCGCGGACCUCCAGGGACGCAGGAGGAGUGUUUAUCACUGACACUGGUUAGAGUUGGCAACAUCUGGAAGAAGGGAAGGAAAGGAAGAUGAGCAAGGCAUUGACCCUUUGGGUCCCACUGACUUCCCAUGACCUACAAGGACCUGAUUCUUCCCCGAAAGGGAAAACAUGCAUAACGUUCAGUUUGACAUGAACUGCUAUAACCUGGAAGACACAAACUACCAAAAGGUUAAAAACAUGAGAACUAAGGUUAGUAGUGCUCUCCAUGUUCUCUUCCUUCUUGGUCCUUUAUGUACUUCUUUGGUGCAAUGCCCACCUUGAUCUUCCCACCAUCCCCCCUUUUCACUGCUUGGCUCUAUCCUCUGCUCUUUUUUCAUUUUUCUUGCCCAGCAGACCACCUGUCCUCUCUCCUGUGCCCAGCUAAUCAUUUUUCCUUGUUUUCCUGCUCUACUGCGUAGUGAAGUACAGUCAUACAUUCCCCAUCUGCCAUUCUUUCAGCUGCCAUCUGUGAAUUGUGUGGCUGAUUCAUUGGUGCUCUUGUGUGCAAUCCAUUCUCAUCCUGUCCCCCACAUUCACUGUCCAUGACGUACAGCCAUAUUUGCAUAGACAGACUAUACCAAAUCCACACAUUCUACCCAGCAGCCCAUGCUCACAACCCUAUGGCCACAGGCUAUGGAUACUUUCUGAAACUAUCAAUGGCUCCCUGUAACCUUCAGAUGUCCUUUCACAUCCUUUCUUUUACUUGUCUGAAAACACUCUCAGGAAACAUGUGCAUCUGCUUCUCCUGCUCAGCUCCUGUCCUCACGUGCUUUUGUCUUCAGCCUUUACUCACGCCCACUGGCAACCUGACUUGCUGUUGGGUCUCACAGCUCUCUCCCUGAGCAUUCCCACCCACCUUAUCUCUCUCUACCUUCUCCCUCAUUAGCUUUCAUCAUUUUUUAUGAGCUCUUCUUCAAAACUGGCUCCAUUCCCCUCUGCUCCUACAUUCUCUGUGGACAACUGGCCCACUGCACUCUUUGAAGGUUGAGAUGCCACCUGUGUGAUUGGAGACUGCUGGACUUGUCAGCUUCUCUCCCUGAACACUGGUCACUGGUGCCUUCCUUAAAUGGACUCUACAACAGCGGCACAGUGCUCAGAGCCCCUUCUCAGAUCUUGUCUAACUCUGUGCUUUGUAUUAAAAACAAUUAUUCCAUCCUUUGGGGUAUUCUCUCCCUCUCAACUGCCCUUGCAGUCUUCCUCCAAAAAGGCUGAAAUUUCUGUUAUUCUGAAAAUCCUCUAAGCUAUUAUCUGUCUCUAGUUAUUUUCUUACCUCAAAAUUUCUAGAACAAAUAGCCUAAAACUGUUACCUAAAAUUGUCUUUGCUAUCUGCUCAUUUCUCAAUCCCAUGUAAUCAGGUUUUCAUUACAAUUUCAUCUAAAUACCUCCCUCCAAAUUUAGAUGGGAAUCUCUUUGGAUGUCUGCUGUGCAAUACAGAUUACAAACUGAAACAAAUGGUGAGCAAUAUAGAAAUGAGAGGAAGAAAAGGUGAUGAAAGAAUAGAGGACACAAACAAGGGGCGUGCUGUUUUUUGGGUGGAAAAAGCUAUAUAGUCAGGGGAGCCAGAUGGAACCCACCAUUCACGGCUAACACUGAAGCAAAGAUUCAGGCAACCACUUAUCCACAAGACAUGCCAAUCACCACUAUUGUUGGGCCUCUUCUUCACGGCCCUCUAAAAGGAGAGUCCCUUAGUGACUGCUAAUGAUGUUACCAAUCAGCUGAGGAUUCUUUUUGCUCAGUUUGGAUAGAAAUUAUGAAAGGCAAAGUGCAGUUCCCUUUAGUGUUAUCAGCUCUCAGCGCUUAGUGUGAGCAGUGGAGUAACCAUGGCUGAAAUAGCAAUUGCUGCAACGACAGCCACACCAUCAAGGGAGCAGCAGAUCUGGCCAGUUCCUUUCCUACUUACUCAUCAUGCAGGACUGGUGUGGCCACUUGGCUGUAUGCUGGGACAGCAGUGGUAGCUGUCAGUUGAAUGGCCAUGCACAAUGGCACCUCCUCCUGGUGCCAGGUGACCUCAGCUCUCUGCAAAAAUUAUAUACACACCAAAAAAACUCAAAGAAAAAAAAAAAAGGAAAACACUUUUUGGGUAGGAGAUCAGGCCCUUCCUCUUCUGUCUUAAACCUGUAUGCAGCAAAAUUAUCCUUCCAAAGUAAAGGAGUGUCCCAUUAGCAUAUAGAACUUUUGUUUUUGUUUUUGCAUUUAAGUUUAAAGGUUUUGUUUUGUUUGCAAAGGAGAAAGGAUUCUGGGAAGGUGUUAGAUUAGGAAGCACCAGGAAUCCAUCUCCCUACCUAGACAAUUGUACUGGCAGAGUCUGCUGGAACUCUGAUACUGAAGGUUUGGAAAUUCCACUGGCAGGUGUAGAUGAUAAAUGGAAGUUAAUUUUGGUUAAUAUUAGGCCUUGACUUGACAAUAACUACUCGUCCCUGACCCUACAAUCUCAUGGUAGACAGCCAUGCACUUGUUCCAGAAACAACUGGUGUUGCCAAAAAUAUUCACAGACUUGAUUGAAAACAUGAAUAUAAAUAUCCAAAAGCUCAAAGAACUCCAAAUUGGACAAAAUCAGAGACCCACACUGAGACACAUUAUUAUCAAACUGUCAAAAGCCGACAAAUUUUUUUUUUUUAAGCAUUGGGGAUCAAACUCAGGCCUUGUACAUACUAGGCAAUCACUCUACCACUGAACUGUAUUGUGUGCCUUUAAAUUUUUUUCUGACAUGAUAAGACACCUGGAAGGUUUGAGUAGAGGCCUCCUCUGCUCUUAGAAACAUGCCUGGGUCCCUGACUAAUGACAGCAGCAGCUGUAAUAGAACAAUAGGGAUGAGUGAGUUGCUUGAUAGCUAUCAGUUAAGGAUCUGGGCCACUGAUACCUGCUCCCACCAACUCCUGACAGCUUCAACUGUUUAAAAUGAAGAAAUGUGAAAUGUAUAAGUAUCUUUGACCAGACAUGGUGGCACACACCUGUAAUCCCAGCAAAUCAGGAGGAUCAAAGUUCAAAACCAGCCUGAGCAGUUUAGCAAGACCCUGUCUCAAAAACUUAAAAGGGCUGGGGAUAUAGCUCAGUACUGAAGCACCCCUGAGUUCAGUGCCCAGUACUGCAAAAUAUAUAGAUAGGUAGACAUGUUGAAUUAUAUAUAUAUGUGUGUGUGUAUAUAUGAUCUGGUUGCAAAGAACUUUAUAUGUUACAUAUCACUCAAUUCUCUAGAAAAACUUCAAUAGUAAGUUAGUAUCCUCCAGUAAACUCAAUCCAGCAUUUAUUUGUUAGCCAUAGCUUUUAAAGGAAAAAGAAAAAGGGUCUCCUAUUCUGUCUCAUUAGGAAGAAAGUUCUAAAAUCAAUAAAUUUUCACUUAGGGAACUAAGAAUUUACAGAGUAAUCUAAAGUAAGUAGAAGAAAAUAAGUAUUAAAAUUCCAGAAGAAAUCAGUGACAUUGGAAAUUCCUAGGAGAUCAAGAGAAAUAUCAGUGAAAUCAAAAGUUGAUUCUUUGAAAACAUGAAUAAAAUCAUUAAGCCUCUAACCAGUCAUAAUAAGAAAAAGAAAAGACAACGUUUGAAUGAUAAGAUUGAGAGAACACACUGAGAUGGGCUGGUAGAUUUGACUUAUGGAAAUGUUACAGGCCAGGCUAUGUAGGCAAUGACUAAACAGACUCCAUUUUGCUCUGAGACCCCAUGUUAUGUAGGAAAUGAGCUUCUCCCAUGGGAACACCCCACCUCUGUACUCAUCAUCAGUUAUUUAGCGUGACAUGUUUGGCAAUACAAAAUGACAAUUCUUUUGUGAUGAAAAAUUGUUCUCUUUUGAUUCCUAUUUCUUCUAAACAAUGCACCAUGUGAACAGUGAUGUCAACAAUGAUUGUGUGGAUGUUAGUAACC